CUCUGAAUAGCUCAGUUGGAAGAGCGAGCGACUGUAAAUCCCAUGUUAUCGCUAGGUCACUGGUUCGAUCCCGGUUUCGGAGA
rnacentral:tRNA from 1 species